GGCUUAAUAGUCAAUGUAAUGAUUUUAAAUUGCAAGUUUGAAGUAAAAUAAUUUUUUAAGCCU
rnacentral:tRNA from 1 species